AUUGAACGCUGGCGGCAGGCCUAACACAUGCAAGUCGAACGAGUGGCGGACGGGUGAGUAAUGUCUGGGAAACUGCCCGAUGGAGGGGGAUAAAUACUGGAAACGGUAGCUAAUACAGCAUACCAUCGGAUGUGCCCAGAGGGGAUGAGAUAGUAGGUGGGGUAACGGCUCACCUAGGCGACGAUUCCUAGCUGGUCUGAGAGGGUGACCAGCCACACUGGAACUGGGACACGGUCCAGACUCCUACGGGAGGCAGCAGUGGGGAAUAUUGCACAAUGGGCGCAAGCCUGAUGCAGCCAUGCCGCGUGUCUGAAGAAGGCCUUCGGGUUGUAAAGUACUUUCAGCGAGGAGGCGUUACUCGCAGAGAAAGCACCGGCUAACUCCGUGCCAGCAGCCGCGGUAAUAC
rnacentral:rRNA from 1 species